CCUGGGCGCGGUGGCACGUGCCUGUAGUCCCAGCUACUCGGGAGGCUGAGGUGGGAGGAUCGCUUGAGCCCAGGAGUUCUGGGCUGUAGUGCGCUAUGCCGAUCGGGUGUCCGCACUAAGUUUGGCAUCAAUAUGGUGACCUCCCGGGAGCAGGGGACCAUCAGGUUGCCUAAGGAGGGGUGAACUGGCCCAGGUCGGAAACGGAGCAGGUCAAAACUCCCGUGAUGAUCAGUAGUGGGAUCGCGCCUGUGAAUAGCCACUGCACUCCAGCCUGGGCAACAUAGCAAGACUCUGUCUCU
rnacentral:SRP_RNA from 1 species